rnacentral:rRNA from 1 species
AUGCUGCCGAAGCACCCCAUCAGAGGGAGUGGCGACGCCGGGGCUCCUAAAGCACCGGAGCACGGCGUGGAGAUGGAGACAGAGGUUUCCGUCACCGCCGGCGAGUUAUCGCUGCACCCUGAGGUGAUGUCUGACGAUGUGGACAGCGAGGAUGAAGAUGCCCAGAGGAGGUACAAGAGGCGAAUCUUGAGGGAGCUUUUUGCGGGAAUGCAUAACAGGCGUAUUAGGACCCGGAAUGACGACUAUGGAUGCCCAUUUUGCAACCACAAGAUUCAUGACGCGUAUCUAAGUGUUCUUGCGCAUGCAAGAGGACGGGCUGUUGGCUCCUUCAAGCAGAAGUAUUCUCGCAGCGUGGAGCAUGGCGCGUACGCCGAGUACCUGGAGAAGCUUCAGGAUCGUGCCGGCCGCAUCAAACCGUCGCCCCCAAAAUUCUUUGUGGAACAGAAAACCCUCACCACCCAAUUCAGAAAAGAAAAAAGAAAACCCUCACCAUCCACACGUCACAAAAACCCUCACCCCGCCCGCCACCCACCUCGGCCCCUCCGGUACGUUCCCCAUUCACACCUGCACAAGCUCCUCUGCGUCUAUGCCAUGGAACCGCCUAUCGCGGCGAUAAGAUUAGGCCCAGUGGUGGAUAAUGUGAUACAGUAUAACAAUCACGUCGAAUGCCUAGAUCUGCAUCUCUCAGAAAUUACUUUGAACUCCUACCGAGGGACCUUACCGGAGACUAUAUUCGCCAGGUUCAUUGUUCUCAGAGCAAGGGUGCUGAAGGAAAUGAGGUUUGCCCUACAUUUAUUUCGCAAAAAUGAAUGGUCUGUUGAUCAGCGCCGGCGCCUGCGGCAGAAUGGAGUAGGCUCCAAAAAUGCUGAAUUUCACUUUGGAACUUCAGAUGACAGAGUAAUCGGAAGUCAUCGGGUCAACCCCAUACAUGACUUCUCAGUGGCUGACCCCUUUGCAAAAAUUGUGAGCCGACGCGUGGCCAAACUAGCCGGGCGGGAAGCUUGUGCGGUAAACAACGCGGUAGCGCGGGAACAGGCUCUUCGAGCCCACACCUGGGGUGCGGUGUUGUCAAGCGUGCACUGGAUUCUGGUAUCCUCCGCUAUGAACGCCGUGACAAGACGUGACGAUUACAGGCCGGCCAGCCCCCAUUUAUUACAGUGGCCAUUUAACCUACCAUUGUGUCUCUUCAACCUUUCGAUCGCGCCCCACCAUUGCAAGAAGCACACCCACCACAAGAAAUUCUUAGGGUAUCCUUCGCGGCUCCAAUGGCGCUCCGAGCGGCUGCCGACGACGAGCAGCAGUUCACCAUGCGUGUUGUGGUGGACACCCACAGAAGUCACUUGUGUAAUUCGCGUACAGCUCGGACGCGCGCUCGCCCAGCCCCCUUUCCCUCGACGCCCCCGAGCUACCCAACCACGGCUACGUGUUUUGCGCACCCGGCGGCCGGAUUUGGAGCGGAUCCGGUCAGGCUUGAGCUCGCCCGGCUGUGGGAGGCCCUGUCGCGCCAUGGACUGGCCGGGCACCGGGCUAGAAGGCCCCGGCAAGGCAGCAAGGCCGCAUGCAGGUACUGACUCCUCCUCUAGCCGCUCGGAUCUACACCAUCGGCGGUCCGCUGGCAGAUACAUGAAUGGCGGUCGGCUGGGCUCGGUGCUGGCCCAAAAGCUCGUCGGCGCACGGUUGCCACUCAUUACGUGCGACGACUGCCCAAAGAAGGUCUUGCGCCGCGUGUCUACAACGCCGGAACAUCCCGGAUGGGUGUUCAUCAAGUGCUCAACCGAUGGGGCCUGGGGCAGCCAUGGCAGGGAGGGGGGGCGAUGCUGCGCUCCGGCGCCGCAUCAGGCGGCUGCAGGGAGGUGGGAGCCACGCGCGGAGACGAAUGAGGAGAUAAUGAAGAGGCAUGGGGGAGAGGCGGGUGAGCGGGAAGGGCCGGGGCAUCGCCCACGAUGCAGGCGAGCGGGAAGGGCGGCGGCCUUGCGGUGGCACAGUCGGCGAGGCCCUGUCGGAUCUUGCCGGGUCCGGUCAGAAAUGGCACGCAAGCGGCGGAUCUGCAAGGAAGGCGGCCGGAGCUUGGAGCAUGACGGUUGGCGCGCACGGCAUGGCCGGUGUCGGGUACCCGUCAGAGAAGAGAGAGAUGCGCGGGAGAGAAAAGAGACGAUGGGAAGGAGAUGGAAGGCCGGAGGAAGAGAGAAGGGAGUGGCUGGAUCGCUAGCUUCCUCCAAGGGCAAGAUCGCCGCCUCUGCCAGCACUAAGAAAACAACUGGCGAAGGCAAGGCGGCCAAGGUCUUCUCCCAAACCGGCCAGAAGUUUGAAACAGCAGAGGAGAAAGUUGCAGUGUGUGAUAGACAAAAAGAUAUAGUGCAAAUCAUUGAUGAUGCAGCGGAAGUUACACAAGUUCUGCUAGAAUUUCUCUCAGAUAACAUGGAUGGAGGAGUUGCAAUGGAGUUGAUGAGGGAAAGAUAUGUGUGGUUCGUGGCUGCUAAACGGUCGUCCCCUCGAAGACAUGGACAAGGUGCGUGUGGUUCACAACGCGACCUCAUGUCUUACCACGUCAACCAGCCGGUGCCCAUCAUCAGACAUGCUCUUCUCCUGGACGUCAUUGGGAAGAAGCCCAUCUCUUUUGAUCUGUUUGUGCCCUUCACUAGUAGAUUCCAGCACGAGUGUUCACCUUUUUUUCUGCAUGUAAUGAGAAUGUUGUGGCUAAUAGAUGGGGACGUGGACCCACGUCGUGAGGGCAACUUCGGCGGCCCACUCCGGCUAGAGCUUGGCCGCAGCCGUCAUGCGCGUGCUAACAAGGUGCAUGAGCGCAGCCGCAAUCUGCGACCGGGCAGCCAAGGCAGCCCAAACGGCCGAUGUUGCUUCUCAGGUGGCGGUAGCAACAUCUGCCUAGGGGAUAGCAACUGGCGAGAGCGGCACAACAGCUGUCCGUUCCGCAGCGGCAGCCUUAGCCCUGAUGGAGGCUGCCCACGACCAUGUCGAGUUCGCCCACACCCAGCUCGUGGCGGUCACCGCACUAAUCGAACGAAGCUUCUCUGA